rnacentral:rRNA from 1 species
CGCAUGAACCGAAAUGGAAAGGUGGCUUUUAGCUACCACUUACAGAUGGAUCAGGCGGCGCAUUAGCUAGUUGGUGAGGUAACGGCUCACCAAGGCGACGAUGCGUAGCCGACCUGAGAGGGUGAUCGGCCACACUGGGACUGAGACACGGCCCAGACUCCUACGGGAGGCAGCAGUAGGGAAUCUUCCGCAAUGGACGAAAGUCUGACGGAGCAACGCCGCGUGAGCGAUGAAGGUCUUCGGAUCGUAAAGCUCUGUUGUUAGGGAAGAACAAGUACCGUUCGAAUAGGGCGGUACCUUGACGGUACCUAACCAGAAAGCCACGGCUAACUACGUGCCAGCAGCCGCGGUAAUACGUAGGUGGCAAGCGUUGUCCGGAAUUAUUGGGCGUAAAGCGCGCGCAGGCGGUUUCUUAAGUCUGAUGUGAAAGCCCACGGCUCAACCGUGGAGGGUCAUUGGAAACUG